UACAGAGGUCCCAAGCGUUGUUCGGAUUCACUGGGCGUAAAGGGUGCGCAGGUGGGUUGGCAAGUUCGAUGUGAAAGCCCCGGGCUUAACCCGGGAAUGGCAUUGAAAACUGUCGAUCUGGAGGAUUGGAGGGGGGACUGGAAUUCUUGGUGUAGCAGUGAAAUGCGUAGAUAUCAAGAGGAACACCAGUGGCGAAGGCGAGUCCCUGGACAAUACCUGACACUGAGGCACGAAAGCCGGGGGAGCAAACAGG
rnacentral:rRNA from 1 species